rnacentral:rRNA from 1 species
ACACAUGCAAGUCGAACGGAAUUUACAUGAAGCCUAGCGAUUGUAAAUUUAGUGGCGGACGGGUGAGUAACGCGUGGGUAACCUGCCUUGUACUGGGGGACAACAGUUGGAAACGACUGCUAAUACCGCAUAAGCGCACAGCUUCGCAUGAAGCAGUGUGAAAAACUCCGGUGGUACAAGAUGGACCCGCGUCUGAUUAGCUGGUUGGUGAGGUAACGGCCCACCAAGGCGACGAUCAGUAGCCGGCCUGAGAGGGUGAACGGCCACAUUGGGACUGAGACACGGCCCAAACUCCUACGGGAGGCAGCAGUGGGGAAUAUUGCACAAUGGGGGAAACCCUGAUGCAGCAACGCCGCGUGAGUGAAGAAGUAUUUCGGUAUGUAAAGCUCUAUCAGCAGGAAAGAAAAUGACGGUACCUGACUAAGAAGCCCCGGCUAACUACGUGCCAGCAGCCGCGGUAAUACGUAGGGGGCAAGCGUUAUCCGGAUUUACUGGGUGUAAAGGGAGCGUAGACGGUUUUGCAAGUCUGAAGUGAAAGCCCGGGGCUUAACCCCGGGACUGCUUUGGAAACUGUAGGACUAGAGUGCAGGAGAGGUAAGUGGAAUUCCUAGUGUAGCGGUGAAAUGCGUAGAUAUUAGGAGGAACACCAGUGGCGAAGGCGGCUUACUGGACUGUAACUGACGUUGAGGCUCGAAAGCGUGGGGAGCAAACAGGAUUAGAUACCCUGGUAGUCCACGCCGUAAACGAUGAUUACUAGGUGUUGGUGGGUACGACCCAUCGGUGCCGCAGCAAACGCAAUAAGUAAUCCACCUGGGG